UAGUGGAAGGGCAUAUACCAGUCAAACUCGCCAUUUUGCCUCGUAAUGCACAUGCUUUAGCCCACUCGCCCAACUCCUGAUAUGUUAUCGUGAAAUAGACGGGGUUUCACCUUGUUAGCCAGGAUGGUCUCCAUCUCCUGACCUCGAGAUCCACCCGCCUAGGCCUUCCAAAGUGCUGGGAUUAUAGGCGUCAGCCACCGCUCACGGCCACCAAUUUUAUCUUUCAAUCUAAACUGAGUGAUGUCCAGCUGCCAUGGGUAUUGAUAGAACCAUUUUAUUUCCAGAUGCAAUUGAGGAUUAAUGACUCAGUUUGCUACAUUCUCCAGCAUUCUAUAUCUUCUGAAAGAAGUUGUCAUUUGCGUUAAGAUAAUAGGCAUUCAACCCACAAAUGUGAAAGGCAAACACCCAGGUGCCAAGCAGGACACCCAAAGAACCUUCUUAACAUUUGAGUGAAGGAAAGAGCAACAUAUAUAUUUUACAGUAACUAUAUAUAGCCUGCAAUGAUUUUAUAACUUCAGUAAGAGGAGGAGGAGAAACUGCUGUGGUCAUCGUCAUAGUAACCACCAGCAAAUUUUAGAUUCUUAGUAAAUCUAUUACUUUUUAAUGUGUGACAUAA